rnacentral:lncRNA from 1 species
CAGGCGGCCGCCUCUGCAAGGAUCGCCCCCGCUGCGCUCCAUACCUGCUCCUUUGUCACCAGCUGCCGAAGAAUUCAGAAAAUCAAAUUUAUUUCCCGAUUACCGAUUACCGCCGGGACGCCCCUUUGUGCGGUGAGGCCUCUUUAACGGUUGCGAUUCCAGCCCACUCUGUGAAGAAGGCUUUUUAAGGAAAAUGCGCCCCGCUGACUCCUGGCCCCCGUGGGAACUUGCGGGCGAGAUCUUCUCGCAAUAAAGACGCUAACGAGCCCCAAGACGUGGGCUUGUCAAGUGUCCUGCCUGCUAACGGGGAUAAAUAAAUAGGCCUCUUGAGUUCGGAUAGUGUAUUUCCUUUCCCCCCCUUAGGAAUGAAUGGAUGGAUGUUGACUCCACGGCUUGCCAGCCCAGCGCUGCCCUCAGCCUGCGGGUAAAUCCAAUUUCAGCCUCUGAGUGCUCAGCGCUAUCAGCACCUCGCCACUGCCGGAAGCCACAGGCCAAUCUGAAAAAGUUCCUCUUCCACCGGAUUCUCAGGUGUCUUAGGCACCUGAAGAUAAACGAUGGGAGCCAGUGGUCAUGGCGGUGAAUUGGAUACCUACACCAGACAAAGCCUGAGAGGCGUAAUCAAAUAAGGGAACCACUUGAACUGAACUCCCAGCAGGAGCAGGAGGGAGGCCUGGAGAGGUUACAGGUACUUUUUAUCCAGCCUCACAGGAGAGAACCAACUUCCUGCUGCUAGAAAUUUGUCUGCAAUUUUUUUCCUCAUUCAGACAGAGAGCUGGGGUCCAGGAGACACUGGGUUGAUAUGAUAACUUGAUUAAGGCCGGGACAGAUGACAUGGGAGCACCAAGUCAGCUCAAAGGAAUCUGUGCUCUCCUCUUUAACCUCUCCUUGGGAGCCUACAAAUUAUAUCUAUUAAUGUAUCAGCCCCCUGGCAUCACA